rnacentral:rRNA from 1 species
GAACUGAAGAGUUUGAUCAUGGCUCAGAUUGAACGCUGGCGGCAGGCCUAACACAUGCAAGUCGAGCGGAUGAAGGGGGCUUGCUCCUGGAUUCAGCGGCGGACGGGUGAGUAAUGCCUAGGAAUCUGCCUGGUAGUGGGGGAUAACGUCCGGAAACGGGCGCUAAUACCGCAUACGUCCUGAGGGAGAAAGUGGGGGAUCUUCG